rnacentral:rRNA from 1 species
GUGGGGAAUAUUGCACAAUGGGCGAAAGCCUGAUGCAGCGACGCCGCGUGAGGGAUGGAGGCCUUCGGGUUGUGAACCUCUUUCGCUCAUGGUCAAGCCGCAGCUUUGGGUUGUGGUGAGGGUAGUGGGUAAAGAAGCGCCGGCUAACUACGUGCCAGCAGCCGCGGUAAUACGUAGGGCGCGAGCGUUGUCCGGAAUUAUUGGGCGUAAAGGGCUUGUAGGCGGUUGGUUGCGUCUGCCGUGAAAUCCUCUGGCUUAACUGGGGGCGUGCGGUGGGUACGGGCUGGCUUGAGUGCGGUAGGGGAGACUGGAAUUCCUGGUGUAGCGGUGGAAUGCGCAGAUAUCAGGAGGAACACCGGUGGCGAAGGCGGGUCUCUGGGCCGUUACUGACGCUGAGGAGCGAAAGCGUGGGGAGCGAACAGGA